UCCAUCCUACUGUCCCACCGUGCCAGCCCCGGCGCCACUCCCACCGUUUUUUUCCGGAUUUUUUCCUAGUUCUUCGCCGCUCUCCCGUAUGCGGUUCGUUGCACUGCACGAUUUGUCCCCUACCCGAAAUCUCCGCCACCACCCACCACACGGGUGUAGGCCGGCGAGGUCUGAAAUCGUCGCCAGUUUCCCAACCAGCCCUCUCGCCUGGAUUGGAGACAUUUGCGAAGUUGAAGCACGGCAGCGGCGACAGGUCCCUAUCCCUCCCCUGCGCCUGCUGCCAAUUUUGUCGCCAGCUCCCCUUUCGACCCGGCUCGCUUUGAGUGGAUUCGCACUUCCGGCGUUGUUCCUAGGUGGCGGCAGCUUCCUAUCCCUCCCCAUUUGCCGGAAGGUGGAGCGGCAGUUCCUCCAGAGCAUUAUUUGGGUCGCCUUGGGUGGACGAGGAUGCAACUACGGUGUCCAAUUUCGGUGAGUUUCUCCCCUCACAUGGAGCUGUGGUCUGCUUUGGAUAUUAACAUUUAGGCUACGGCUUGGGGAGGAUGCGGACGUGGAGGCAGCAGCAGCACCGCACUGUCGUCCUGCGUCCGCUUCCGAGGCACACGGUGCAGGGCGCUUCCGCCACUACCUCUGGCAUGGGAAGGGAGGUUCCAGUCGGUGCCCGCGGCAAACGGCGGGGUCGCGGUAGGUAGGCGGAGCCAGCCCGCGCGCUGGCCGAGCCGGGCGCCGCGCCAGCUGCCGCUGCGGGGGCCAGGAAGAACAGGCGUGUGACCAUGGCGUCCGCGAGCGGCGACGGAUUCGUCGUCGGUGUUGUGGUGGUAGCUGGGACAACUCAGUGGUCAAGUUGGCGUCCUUGCCGGCAGCAAAUAUCUUACAGAAGUUGGCGGUGCGUUCUCUUGUGCCAGACAAAUUACAACAACGUCGAGAUGAAACACUGCAGGUUCUGUUUUUCGGUAUCCUGAUUCUCUUCUUUGACUUUGCGAGUGAUUUGUUAGUGCUAUCUAUUUAUGGUUUCCAUGGUUUGUGCUGGUUCUUUCCUGUAACCAUGCAAUAAGUUAUUUUAGGAUUAUCUCAUUGUAAGAAUGGAAUCUUAUCUUUCGUUUCCUGAACUAGCUUUAGAAAUGUUGGAAGUUAUUCCUUUUUGACUAGGCUAUAUGCAAUUUUGAGGUCCUUUGUAACAGUGGAGAUUAUUCCUGAACUUUGCAAUGCUCUUUUUUUGGGCAACAACUGAUGCAGAGGUGAGCUUAAUUGCCUAGUAAAGCUAGCAUGUUUUAUAACAUUAUAUCCAUACGAAUGCUACUGAUAUAUUUCCUAGAGCAAGCUAUACGGCAUGCUAGUCUGAUUCCUGAAGAGUACCUUUAGCUAUUUCUCCAUAUCAAUGCCAUCACAGUUGUUUCUUGAAUGUUGAAAAUACUCAUUAGUGCAGAAAUAAUAUUUUUCAUUUGAAUCAGGAUGCCACUGUAGCUGCAGGUGCCAGGACCGUGUAGAUGAUGAUGCGUAAUGGCUGGUGUAUGAAGCGCGUACGGGGACGAGCUCUGUGAAAAAAGAGAUCAGUGACACUUGGAUGCUCUUAUGGUCACAAGUGACGAUCCUCUCCUAAUCAAAGAUCCAGCCUACCAUCUGAGUUGCUUAAUUUUUUUGAAUGUUCCUGAAAUCUGGAUUACUCACUGGUGGAUUGCUUGUAGAAUCCCUAUGCUGCGUCUCCUUUCUGUUGUCUCUGCUGGGAUGACAGAUGACCAGAUCAAUCCUGCUGCCAAUGGCCAUUCUAACCAACGUGCUGGAGGUGACUAGCGGAUGACAACAAUUAUUUGGCGUGAAUCCAACUGCUGGCUCUGACCCUGUACAGAUCAUGAGCUCCAGGACCAUCUUGCAACACUUCCAUGACCUUAGGUAAGUUCCUGCUACAGCUUUGAUUUGGUUUCCUAUUGUUGCCAGUCUGUUCUUCAGCUUCCGUUCAUUUUGUUAUGGCUCUUUCAUGAGAGGGGUCCUACAAACUGCUUUCUCCUUGGUUUAUGAUACCCUGGGUGUUUGCAAGACAAGCUUUUUACAUUGACAUAUGUCACUGUUUCUGACUACAAAAUUAGAUACCACAGUGCAUAGAUUAUUAGUUCUUGUGUUCAUGGCGUCACGAGUAGGGACGCGGACAGCAGGAGGCGUGGACGCCGGUGCGAAGGAUGCUGUGAAAACUGUGCAAUGCUCAGCACACUGCUCCAUAUCCUAUUAUUAUCUCCUUGAUGCAUCUAGCAUAUGCAUAUGAACACAGGUUUCUGAGUUUGAUUUCAUAACAUUUGUUUCAGUAGCUGAGUUCAAAAUCACGAGCAAAGUGACACAGAUUUGCCAAUCCAAAUUUGGUUCUAGGUGCAGACCUGGUUGGUCUGAUUGACUGAUAUUAAUAAGUUUGGACCAAUAUACUUUGCUAAUCAUUCCAAAUGUUUUAAAGCUUUGGACUUCCAAACAUUAUGGUUCAUCAAUACCAGUUCGUCUGAUCAAUAUGCCUAGUUUUAUCUGAAAUGCUUAUGACCUGACCGUAUUCUGUUGGUCAAUUUCUUUACAAAAAAUUGUUUUUUAUUUGAUGAUUAUUGGCUAUCUCACGGGUGAUAAUUGAGAGGAAGUGAAAGCUUGCUGAAGAAUUAGGCACUAGGCAGAGGCACUUCUGCUUUGUGGCAUUGAGGCAACACAAGUGAUCACUAUGGGCCUAUGGUUGCAAAACUUUAUAAGGGGUGGGAUCCAGCGAUCCAUUGUCUACUCUUGUAUGAAAGAAUCAGAAGCUUGUUCUUCUCAGUGUAGCUUGUGUGGUGCAGCAUUUGCAAGUGGAAGACUUGCUGGUUCUUGGUACACCAUGUAAUCUUCAUUAGAUGCUGUAAUUGUUGUAGAAUUGUAUUUUCUUGUGGAGUUUGGUUUCUAAUCCAAAGUUUGAUGAGCUGCAAUUUAGUAUUUUUGCAAACAUGGUCCGUUCUCAAGAGCUAAAUUAGCUAUUCUUACUAUUCUGAUUCA